GCCUGCGUGGCUCAGUUGGUUAAGCAUCUGACUUGGGCUCAGGUCAUGAUCUCUCGGUUUGUGGGUUCGAGCCCCACAUUGGGCU
rnacentral:tRNA from 1 species